rnacentral:rRNA from 1 species
UUGAACGCUGGCGGAAUGCUUUACACAUGCAAGUCGAACGGCAGCGCGGGGGCAACCCUGGCGGCGAGCGGCGAACGGGUGAGUAACAUAUCGGAACGUACCCAUUGGUGGGGGAUAACACAUCGAAAGAUGUGCUAAUACCGCAUACGACCUGAGGGUGAAAGGGGGGGAUCGCAAGACCUCUCGCCGUUGGAGCGGCCGAUAUCGGAUUAGCUAGUUGGUGAGGUAAAGGCUCACCAAGGCGACGAUCCGUAGCUGGUCUGAGAGGAUGAUCAGCCACACUGGAACUGAGACACGGUCCAGACUCCUACGGGAGGCAGCAGUGGGGAAUUUUGGACAAUGGGGGAAACCCUGAUCCAGCCAUUCCGCGUGAGUGAAGAAGGCCUUCGGGUUGUAAAGCUCUUUCAGGAGGGAAGAAACGGUUGCGGCUAAUACCCGCGACUAAUGACGGUACCUUCAGAAGAAGCACCGGCUAACUACGU